rnacentral:rRNA from 1 species
UACGUAGGGGGCAAGCGUUGUCCGGAUUUACUGGGCGUAAAGAGCGUGUAGGCGGCCACGCAGGUCCGUUGUGAAAACUGGAGGCUCAACCUCCAGCUGUCGACGGAAACCGUGUGGCUAGAGUCCGGAAGAGGAGAGUGGAAUUCCUGGUGUAGCGGUGAAAUGCGCAGAUAUCAGGAAGAACACCGGUGGCGAAAGCGCUCUGCUAGGCCGCAACUGACACUGAGGGACGAAAGCUAGGGGAGCGAAUGGG